AUGCUUUUUGCCACAGUUUUUUUCUUUUCUGUCUGCCUCAGAGUGUUUCCAGAUGGAAGCCAAGAUGAGCUGAGAUCCCUGUGCUCCACUAGUUGUCCAAAACCUACAUGCAGCAGGGAGCCAUACCGAUCCCAUGGUUAAGGUUAAAGGUGUCAAGCUCCGCCUUCAUCUCCGCCUGCUCUUGGGUCCAGCAACAAAAGGGAGACUUUGCUGCCUGACUGUGCCUGCAUGUUCAAUCACAGCCGGUGCUCACUCAUUCACCACACAGCUCCAAUUAAGUUUCCUGGAUGCAGUCUGGACAAGUAAUGCUACGUUAAAAGACAUAUAUUCAACACAUAACUUGGUAUGUAUCGUAUCAGAAGACACAACUGCUUUUUUCUCCUCUCUCUCCCUGGUUCUGUGUGUACAUGUAUGUGUAAG